GAAGGUGUAGCUCAGUGAUAGAGUGCAUGCCUAGCAUGCACAAGGUCCUAGGUUCAAUCCCCAAUACCUCCA
rnacentral:tRNA from 1 species